GGUUUGAUAAGUAAUCAAUCCAUAACCUCCAUCUUGUCAAAACUUUGAUAGAAUGAUUGUAUCACACAGUAACUAUGUACUUAAAGGUUCAUUUUAUUCUAUUCUACUGGCCUGCCAUAAUAUGCAACUAGAUGAUACUGAUGGAUUAUAGAGCCCACAGAGAAUCAGAUAGAUGAUCGGAUAAUUUUUUGAUGAAAAAAAUUGAAAACGUUCCAAUCCAUUGAAAAGAAUUUUAAUGAUAUUGUGAUAG
rnacentral:lncRNA from 1 species